rnacentral:lncRNA from 1 species
CAAAGAACUGGGCCUCAUAGGUCAUUGGAUCAACAGACAUCUUGGUGUUUGGUUUUGUUUUUUGCUUUGUUAAUUUUGAUUGUGAACAACCUGCAAAUGUAGUAAGAAAAAUUUUCAUUUGUUUAAAAAAAAGUAACAAAUUACAUUAUAGACAGCAAAACAAACAAAACAAACAGCAAACAAAAACUAUAAAGUUUAUGUUCCUUGAUACUUGAUGCUACUUCCAGCCUCACACAUCCACAACAGGAUACAAAUCCUGCCUCUCUGAGACUCUCAUCAGCCUAUCACCUCCCUUCUUCCUCCUCUUUGUCCAUUUCCCUCACCUCUCAAUUACUUAGGAUUUUGGCCCGUGGCUCAGCCUUCUGAAUUCUGUUAUCACCCCAUGUAAACGUUCAGAUUUAUAUGGAUGAUCUAACCAAUGUCCUAGAAACUCAGUUCUUCAUCUCCACUUUUUCAGACCUUUAUCUCCACUCUUAGCGACCUGGGUAUUGACAUUUGUAACUUCUCUCCCCAACUCUCCUACUGUUUGACCACAACCUCAUAUGCUAGUCUUCCAACACUCAUUCCUAUAUUCAUAUUAUAUCUUAAUCUUCAAGACUUUCAGCCCUCUGAGCCUCUCUUUUUAGUCUCUCCCACUUCACUUCCCCGCUGCACUUUAGGCUCCACGAUCUAUCACGUCAACCACUCCUUUGCCAAUGUCCUCAACUCCCUGUCCUUCCAAUCUUACCAUCUGAAAAAAUACCACUAGAAGGUGAGGAAGCCUCCAGUAAGCUUUACAACCCUGGCAUUUUCUUAAGGGUCUGGGAGUCAUUCCUUUCAAAUGUAAACAUCUAAGAAAAUAGCAUUCCUAUCUCCCUGUCACUGUGGGUGUUUAACCUAGGGUCCUUUUUUGGGCUGUAACCAGAUACUUGUCAUAGAAAUAAAAGAAGUUUCAUUAUUCCUGCAGACAAAUUAGCUAAAACAAAUGGCUACCUCAAUUACCAGGCAAAUUUAGGAUGAACCUUAUCAAAGAAUCUGAAGCAAGUGGUUCUCUCAAAUCUUUUUAUAAGACUGUGCUGUUAAUCUUGAUAAUUUAUGUAAUGACUAAAAAUAGAAUGGUUGUAAUAGCUUAGCAGAAUAGGGUAGAAUUUGUAUCUCUGUAAUGUCAUUUACAGAUUAUCUCUAAUGCAUUAUAAUCUGGAUAUGCUUAUUCAGUAACAGAACUGCUUUCUCUUCUUUGUCUUGUGGAGAGGAUUCUGUGGAUUAACAGGAUUUUAACUUCCUCAACAUUUCCCUAUGCCUUCAGGAUCAUUUUUUAAACUUUUUCAUAUGGCUUAGAAGGACCUUCAUCAUCUGACCUUUACUAACCACUGUCCUCCUUUUUAAGUACCUUCAGUUUAGUUCAGUUCAGUCGCUCAGUCCUGUCUGACUCUUUGCGACCCCAUGAAU